rnacentral:lncRNA from 1 species
GGAGCUCACAUUCAACGUUUCUUGGGUCUAAAUCUUCCGGGCAGCUGUCUACACUUUGGCUCAGUCACUAUUAUUGAUGGGUGGGCACCCUGACUGGAGCAGCUACCACCCCUGGGGUCAACUGGGAAGCGUCUGGUGCUGCGAUCGAGGCACCCCCAGAAUCAUCGCACUGAGUAAAGAGAGAAACCUUUCAAAGGAAGGGAUGCUUGGCAGAGGAAAAUCAGCACUCCCAUUGUAGCGUUCAAGUAAAUAAAUUCAAGGGUCUUGUUCUGUCACCCAGGCUGGAGUGCAGGGGCAUGAUCACUGCUCACCCCAACGUCAACCUCCUGGAUUCAACUGAUCCUCCCAAUUGAAUGAUUGUUCUGAAAUACCCUCUGCAGGACUCCUUUGUGAUAUUCAUCAAAUAUUUCUUGCUCUCCACCCUCCAGACACAUGUGAUUUUCAUGGUGUGAUAUAUAGUCAACCCCACAUCAGAUCACCUGGAAUCAUUGUCGAUAUUGGGUACAACUUGCCUCACCCCAGAAUUUCAAGGAGUGUGACCUGCGAGUCUGUAUUUUUACCAGGUACCAUCUGCUGACUUCCCACAUCAGAAGAAUGAUCUUCAACCCAAGACACAGGCAAAGAGAGCAUCUAACUGCUUAAAAUGAGAGCAGGAAUGGCUGUUGGCUUAGAUAGAUGGCACCCCAGAGUCCUGAAAGAACUUGCAGAUGUGAUCACAGGACCAUCUGAACCGGAGAAACCGGGGGGAAUGGAGAGACAGCAAAAGACCGGAGAUGGGUAAAUGAGUUCCAGAUUUUCCAACACAACAGGAAAGGUGACUUACGGGUCUGUGUGCUGGUUACAUUUAAUGUUGAGCUUCAGCAAAACUCCGGAACAGAUGAUUGAAGGGGCUUUGUGCGUAUUUAUUAAAGAAAGUAAUGAUUGCUAGGCACUCUCAUGAGUUCCCCGAAAUCUGAGCUCGUGCCAGACAACCUUGUUUCCAUGCCAUAGCACUCCACUGGACGAGCAGGAAAAUAUCAUAGUCAGAAAUGACUUAUUUUAGCAAGACACUUAGCAAAAGUCUCACGUGACAUCCUUGUGGACCGAGGAAUGUGGACUGGUGGUUGCUUUGUGUCCACAUUUCAGGGGACCCACUCAGGGUCCUCCUUAGGCCCCUGUCUCUACACGAAACCUCAGCCACAAAGGUGCAAGGGAAAUAAACUGACUGUCACAGAGACAAUUGCUAAUGAACUUUUAAAAAACGAAUGACUUAUUUUUUAAAAUUUUUAUUUUUCAAUUAACAGAACUAAAUUUAUUCUCAAUGUUAUAACUAUGGAAAAUGGAAAAAAUUGCUACCUCUUACUUUCUUAUUCCUUUUAAUUGAAUAUAUUUGAGGUGUACAGCAUAUUUUCAUAUACUUACCUUUUUUUUUUUCCGUGAGAGACAGAGCCUCACUCUGUUGUCUAGGCUGGAGCAUAGCAGUGCAACCAUGGCUCACUGCUGCCUCCAACUCCUGGGCUCAGGUGAUCCUCCCACCUUAGCGCCCCCGAGUAGCUGAGACUACAGGCACAUGCCACCACAUCCAACUAAUUUUUUUUUCUGUAGAGACAAUCCUCCUGCCUCAGCUUCCCAAGGAGCUGGGACUAUGGACACGCACCACCAUGCUCAGCUGAUUUUUAAAUUUUUUGUAGAGACGGGGUCUCACUGUAUUUCCCAGGAGUGUCUUGAACUCCUGGACUCAAGCAAUCCUCUGCCUUUGCCUCCCAAAGUGUUGGGAUUUCAGGCAUGAGCUACUGUGCCUGGCCAAUAUACUUAUCUUGAUAUGCAUAUACAUAGUGAGGUGGUCACUAUAGUCAAGUAAAUUGAUAUACUGGUACAUUAUCUCUAUAGCUACUUUUCCUCUGUAUGUGUGUGUGUGUGUGAUCAGAGUACCUAAAAUCUACUCUCUUGUCAAAUUACCAGUAUAAAAUAGAAUAUUAUUAACCGUAGUCCUCAUGUUGUACAUUAGAUUUCUAAACUUAUUCAUUCAACAGUUAGGGCGCAACUUUGUACGCUUUGACCUAUAUCUUCCCAUUUCGACCCUUCGCCUCCAGGCUCCCUUCACCUCUGGUAUCUGUCCUUUUACUUUCUGGUUCUACCUAUUCAAUUUAUUGAAUUUAAUUUUUUAGAUGUCACUUAAAAGUAAGAUCAUGCAGUAUUUUUCUUUCUGUGUCUGGCUUAUUUGACUUAGCAUAAUGUCCCCUAAGCUCAUCCAUGUUGUCACAGAUGGCAGGAUCUGCUCUUUUUAAGGCUGAAUAGUAUUCCAUUGUGUAUCUAUGCCACAAUUUCUUCAUCUAGUCAUCUGUUGAUCGACACUUUGACUGUUUCCAUACCUUGGCAAUUGUGAAUAAGAAUGCAAUGGACACGGAAGUGCAGAUGUUUCUACGAGGUGGUGACUUCAUUUCCUUUGGGUAUAUACCCAGAAGAAGCAUUGUUGGGUUAUAUGGUAGUUCUAUUUCUACUUGCUUUAGGAAACCCCCAUACUGUUUUCCACAGUGGCUGUACGAAUCUACAUUGCCACCAACAGUGUACAAGAAUUCUCUUUUCUCCACACCUUUACUAUUUCUUUGUAAGAAGGAUUAAUGACUUUUUGGUAAAAGCCAUCCUAACAGGUGUGAGAUAAUAUCUCAUUGUGGUUUCUAUUCACAUUUCCCUAAUGACUAGUGAUGUUGAGCACUUUUCAUUUCACCUGUUGGCUGUUUUUAUAUCUUCUUUGGAGAAAUCUCUAUUCAAGUCUUUUGCCCAGAGUUGUGUGAGUUCUUAUACAUUUUGGAUAUUAACCCCUUAUCAGAUAUGUGGGUCACAAAUAUUUUUUCCCAAUCUGUAGACCAAAUUUUCAUUUUGUAUACUGUUUCCUUUGCUAUGCAGAAGCUUUUUAGUUUGAUGUAGUCCUGUUUAUUUUUGCUUUUAUUGCCUGUGCUUUUGGUGUCCUAUCAAAAAAAAAUAUAUUGCCAAGAACAAUGUCAAAGAGAUUUUCCCCAAAUCUUUUUGUAGGAGUUUUUAUGGUUUCAGAGCUUCUGCUUAAGUAUUUAAUCCACUUUGAGUUGAUUUUUGUAGAUGGUGCCGGAUAAGGGUCCAAUUUUAUUUUGCAUGUAGACACCCAGUUUUCUCAGCACCAUUUAUUGAAGAGACAGUGCUUUCCUCAUGGUGUCUUCUUCUGUCCUUGUUGAAAAUUUGUUGACUGUGUGUGCUUGAGUUUAUUUCUGGGCUCUGUAUUAUGUUCCAUUGAUAUAUGUAUCUGUUUUUUUAUACCAGUACCAUACUGUUCGGGAUGCCUCCAGCUUUGUUCUUUUUGCUCAGGCUUGCCCAGGCUAUCCAGGGUCUUUGAUAGUUCUAUAUGAAUUUUAGGAUUUUUUGUCAAUUUCUGUAAAAAUAAAUGUCAUUGGAAUUUUGAUAGAGACUGUAUUUAAUCUGUAGAUCACUUUGGGCAGUAAGGCUUCUGGUCACAAAAGCUCCUUGUCUAGAUGACCUGUGGCAUCUACCAGAGUCACUUCAACACAACUUUGCUCGUUGCACCUUAUCUUCCCUUUUAUUUGGUCUGAAUUGCCUUUGGAGCACUUUCUAGUUGAAAGACACAUGUUCUUUUUGUUGUUGUUGUUUUUGAGACCAGAGUCUUGCUCUAUCACUCAGGCUGAAAUGCAGCGACCAUGGCUCACAGCAGCAUUGACCUCCCAGGCUCAAGCAAUCCUCCUGCCUCAGCCUCCCGAGUAGCUGGAACUACAAGCCUGGACGUAAAGGUCUGAACCCUGGGGACUGCACAUAGAAAAUCCAGAACCAGGGCCCCAGCACUCUGGGGCAUUUCUGGGAGCUGUCUCAGUAACUCUAUAUACCUGUCAGUUGUCUACCACCCUGACUCCCCUCAAACUCAGGCAGUGGCCGCAGAAGACUCUGGCAGCAGGCAGAGCAGGGAGCCCUGUACAGUAGUCCUGGUGCCUCGUCACAGAUCCCAAAGUGCCUUUACUGGAAGGCUAGGACUAUUGCAGUUGUUGCAGGGUCCCUGGGGACUGUCGAACAUAAGCCUGGCCCCACAAGAAAACUGGGCCACGCACUGAAGAAUGCAAAGAACACUCUUCUGUCUCCCAGAGCUCCAGAGGGA